rnacentral:lncRNA from 1 species
CCAACACUGAGUUCUAGGUGUGUUGCAGAUAACUCAGGCCCGCUUCUCUUCUGUCUUCUCCAGCUUCCUGGCAGCUGAGCCAGCCGAGCUCUCUACCCACUAUAGUGCAUAGAGCCAUGGGACCAGAAGCAGGGUUCCCUGCAAAAUAAUGCAGAAAAUUUGAUAAUGGAAGAAGUUCACUGAAGGUCAGCUGUCUCCAAUCCUGAGGUCAUCACUCAUCAAGAGGGGAUAAUCCCAAGGACAGCAGGAUCUGCUUCGUCACUUGGAUUUAGGAGUGAGAAGCCCAUCAGGCAACUAAACAGUAACAAUGACCCACCAUUAAACACACGGAGAGAAGAGCAUGAUGAGGAGAUUGUACAAGAAGAAUCCUGGAGCUCUUGCUGACAACGCCUAUGGAGACGCUGACCAUUUCAGGGGAAUUUGCUGCAGCUGUUGUCGGCAAAUCCAUGUCCUGAUACACUCAAGUACCAGAAAAGCAGUAAUCCGCCCUCGGAGUUCCAUAGUGAUGGCUGCACUGUGGAAAGGGAAAGGUAGACUAUGGGUAGAAUGCAUUAUUGAUAAUACUUCAUCAAGAACAGUGAAUCGCAAAUUAAAUGCCUUAGACACGAAAUGCAAUAAACAGCACAUCAAAUAUUUUUGAAAUACGCAAAGCAUUGCUUUAAGGUAAGAAUGUGAUAUUUUCUAAAAUGUUGGGGUGGGGUUCCAAGCACUAAAGUCAUUAUUUUUAUAUGAAGUGUUUCAUGGCAGUCAGAAAUACUAAGGGUUUGAGCUCCCACCCCCUGGAUUCAUGGCUAUUGAAGUGAUAAUGAAGAAGUGUCAUACGGUGACACAGGCCUUCCGUGAUUCUCCAAACACUUUUCUGCACAGUG